ACUCCGUUAGUAUUAUAAACUAGUACAUCCACCUUCCAAGUAGAAAGACUGCCUAACAGACAGAGCA
rnacentral:tRNA from 1 species